rnacentral:tRNA from 1 species
GGAGAGAUGUCCGAGCGGUCGAAGGAGCGCGCCUGGAAAGUGCGUAUACCUCAAAAGGGUAUCGCGGGUUCGAAUCCCGCUCUCUCCGCCA